GGCAGACGGGUGAGUAACAUGUAGGUAUCUACCCUUUGGCCUGGAGUAACACGAGGAAACUUGUGCUAAUACCGGAUAAGUCUUUACGGAGAAAGCUUUAUGCACCAUUGGAUGAGCCUGCACUUGAUUAGUUUGUUGGUGGGGUAAUGGCCUACCAAGACUGUGAUCAAUAGCUGAUUUGAGAGGAUGAUCAGCCACAUUGGGACUGAGACACGGCCCAAACUCCUACGGGAGGCAGCAGUGGGGAAUCUUGCACAAUGGAGGAAACUCUGAUGCAGCGAUGCCGCGUGAGUGAAGAAGGCCUUUGGGUUGUAAAGCUCUUUCGUCGGGGAAGAAAAUGACUGUACCCGAAUAAGAAGGUCCGGCUAACUUCGUGCCAGCAGCCGCGGUAAUACGAAGGGACCUAGCGUAGUUCGGAAUUACUGGGCUUAAAGAGUUCGUAGGUGGUUGAAAAAGUUAGUGGUGAGAUCCCAGAGCUUAACUCUGGAACUGCCAUUAAAACUUUUCAGCUAGAGUAUGAUAGAGGAAAGCAGAAUUUCUAGUGUAGAGGUGAAAUUCGUAGAUAUUAGAAAGAAUACCAAUUGCGAAGGCAGCUUUCUGGAUCAUUACUGACACUGAGGAACGAAAGCAUGGGUAGCGAAGAGGAUUAGAUACCCUCGUAGUCCAUGCCGUAAACGAUGUGUGUUAGACGUUGGAAAUUUAUUUUCAGUGUCGCAGCGAAAGCGAUAAACACAC
rnacentral:rRNA from 1 species